UGAGGUAAUGGCUCACCAAGGCGACGACGGGUAGCCGGCCUGAGAGGGCGACCGGCCACACUGGGACUGAGACACGGCCCAGACUCCUACGGGAGGCAGCAGUGGGGAAUAUUGCACAAUGGGCGAAAGCCUGAUGCAGCGACGCCGCGUGAGGGAUGACGGCCUUCGGGUUGUAAACCUCUUUCAGCAGGGAAGAAGCGAAAGUGACGGUACCUGCAGAAGAAGCGCCGGCUAACUACGUGCCAGCAGCCGCGGUAAUACGUAGGGCGCGAGCGUUGUCCGGAAUUAUUGGGCGUAAAGAGCUCGUAGGCGGUCUGUCGCGUCGGAUGUGAAAGCCCGGGGCUUAACCCCGGGUCUGCAUUCGAUACGGGCAGACUAGAGUGUGGUAGGGGAGAUCGGAAUUCCUGGUGUAGCGGUGAAAUGCGCAGAUAUCAGGAGGAACACCGGUGGCGAAGGCGGAUCUCUGGGCCAUUACUGACGCUGAGGAGCGAAAGCGUGGGGAGCGAACAGGAUUAGAUACCCUGGUAGUCCACGCCGUAAACGGUGGGAACUAGGUGUUGGCGACAUUCCACGUCGUCGGUGCCGCAGCUAACGCAUUAAGUUCCCCGCCUGGGGAGUACGGCCGCAAGGCUAAAACUCAAAGGAAUUGACGGGGCCCGCACAAGCAGCGAAGCAUGUGCUUAAUUCGACGCACGCGAAGAACU
rnacentral:rRNA from 1 species